rfam:Lentinula edodes NBRC 111202 DNA, contig: scaffold1594.
CCGACCAUAGCUCAGUUGGAAGAGCGCGAGACUGUAAUUGGAAAACUUUGAUAUCUUGAGGUCGCCUGUUCGAACCAGGCUGGUCGGA